GUGUUCACUUUGGUGGCACAUAUACUGAAAUUGGAACAAUUCAGAGAAGAUUAGCAUGGCCCCUGUGCAAGGACGACGUGCAAAUUUGUGAAGCAUUCCACAUUUUU